UGCGUACCUUUUGUAUAAUGGGUCAGCGACUUAUAUUCUGUAGCAAGGUUAACCGAAUAGGGGAGCCGAAGGGAAACCGAGUCUUAACUGGGCGUUAAGUUGCAGGGUAUAGACCCGAAACCCGGUGAUCUAGCCAUGGGCAGGUUGAAGGUUGGGUAACACUAACUGGAGGACCGAACCGACUAAUGUUGAAAAAUUAGCGGAUGACUUGUGGCUGGGGGUGAAAGGCCAAUCAAACCGGGAGAUAGCUGGUUCUCCCCGAAAGCUAUUUAGGUAGCGCCUCGUGAAUUCAUCUCCGGGGGUAGAGCACUGUUUCGGCAAGGGGGUCAUCCCGACUUACCAACCCGAUGCAAACUGCGAAUACCGGAGAAUGUUAUCACGGGAGACACACGGCGGGUGCUAACGUCCGUCGUGAAGAGGGAAACAACCCAGACCGCCAGCUAAGGUCCCAAAGUCAUGGUUAAGUGGGAAACGAUGUGGGAAGGCCCAGACAGCCAGGAUGUUGGCUUAGAAGCAGCCAUCAUUUAAAGAAAGCGUAAUAGCUCACUGGUCGAGUCGGCCUGCGCGGAAGAUGUAACGGGGCUAAACCAUGCACCGAAGCUGCGGCAGCGACGCUGAUGCGUUGUUGGGUAGGGGAGCGUUCUGUAAGCCUGUGAAGGUGUGCUGUGAGGCAUGCUGGAGGUAUCAGAAGUGCGAAUGCUGACAUAAGUAACGAUAAAGCGGGUGAAAAGCCCGCUCGCCGGAAGACCAAGGGUUCCUGUCCAACGUUAAUCGGGGCAGGGUGAGUCGACCCCUAAGGCGAGGCCGAAAGGCGUAGUCGAUGGGAAACAGGUUAAUAUUCCUGUACUUGGUGUUACUGCGAAGGGGGGACGGAGAAGGCUAUGUUGGCCGGGCGACGGUUGUCCCGGUUUAAGCGUGUAGGCUGGUUUUCCAGGCAAAUCCGGAAAAUCAAGGCUGAGGCGUGAUGACGAGGCACUACGGUGCUGAAGCAACAAAUGCCCUGCUUCCAGGAAAAGCCUCUAAGCAUCAGGUAACAUCAAAUCGUACCCCAAACCGACACAGGUGGUCAGGUAGAGAAUACCAAGGCGCUUGAGAGAACUCGGGUGAAGGAACUAGGCAAAAUGGUGCCGUAACUUCGGGAGAAGGCACGCUGAUAUGUAGGUGAAGUCCCUCGCGGAUGGAGCUGAAAUCAGUCGAAGAUACCAGCUGGCUGCAACUGUUUAUUAAAAACACAGCACUGUGCAAACACGAAAGUGGACGUAUACGGUGUGACGCCUGCCCGGUGCCGGAAGGUUAAUUGAUGGGGUCAGCGCAAGCGAAGCUCUUGAUCGAAGCCCCGGUAAACGGCGGCCGUAACUAUAACGGUCCUAAGGUAGCGAAAUUCCUUGUCGGGUAAGUUCCGACCUGCACGAAUGGCGUAAUGAUGGCCAGGCUGUCUCCACCCGAGACUCAGUGAAAUUGAACUCGCUGUGAAGAUGCAGUGUACCCGCGGCAAGACGGAAAGACCCCGUGAACCUUUACUAUAGCUUGACACUGAACAUUGAGCCUUGAUGUGUAGGAUAGGUGGGAGGCUUUGAAGUGUGG
rnacentral:rRNA from 1 species